rnacentral:lncRNA from 1 species
AGAAAUCCACCUGCCUUUGCCUCCUGAGUGCUGGGAUUAAAGGAGUGCGCCACCAUGCCGGGCGACAAAAUUCUUAUAUACAUGUGUAUGCUUUUUAAUUAAUUCUUUUUCUGGAAUCAUCAUCACCCCUCUGAAGCAGGGUCUGUCAGCCCGUUUGAGCUGGAAAGUCUCUGCAGUGUUUCUGCCUCAUAGGACAGCAAGCUGCAUCCCUGGCCUCUGCCAUGGAGGUACCAGGAAUACAUCCUUGUCAUUUGUGAUGGAGGAGAAUGUCCCGUGGUGGAGUUGGUGGGGCCACAAACUAUGUCCAGUUGAGAGCUACCAUUCUGGACAUGUAGCUGUUUUAGAGAUAAGAUGUCAACCCAGGCCGGGCAGUGGUGGCACACACCUUUAAUCCCAGCACUUGGGAGGCAGAGGCAGGCGGAUUUCUGAGUUCGAGGCCAGCCUGGUCUACAGAGUGAGUUCUAGGAGAGCCAGGGCUACACAGAAAAACCCUGUCUUGAAAAACCAAAAAGCCAAAAAUAAAUAAAUAAAUAAAAUAAAAUAAAUAAAAGAUGUCAACCCUUUUAUAGAUAAGAAGAAUAUUUAAUCCUUAUCAGUAUAGAUGAUUUGUAUACAAUUGCAUACACUCAUGGCUGUUAAGUGGCAGAAUCCAAACUUAAAAGAAAAAAAAAAAUCAAGAACAAAACUGAGUGUUCUAGAAUGCGGUAUCUGUUACACCAAACUGUUCUGUGGACGGUAGGAAAAGAGGCUGAAUCCUGCCACACCCCCCAACCCCCUGCAGAAAAGAGGGUGAGGCUUGAUGGCUGAAAAAUCUCAAAAUCCUUUCACAAACAGAAAGUCAUUAAAACAGAUAGCAAGAGGUCAGGGAUUUGACGCCACUGGCAGUGGUUUAAAAAGCCAAUUAGACUUCAGCAAUUUUACUGCAGAGCUCUAAUUUACAUACAUAAAAACCGGGGUUGGUCUCUUAGAGAGGUGUACCGAGAAGAGCGAAUCCUGAGCUGGCCAAAGGGGCCAACACUUCUGCUCUUCACCUGCCCUUGAUUGCACGGGUGGACGGCGGUCAGCUACAUCAAUGCCCCCUGCGUCUCCCACGUGUAGGCAGGGAUGUUGAGCAUGCUCAGCAGAAUCCUUGAAGGUCCUUCAUGUAUUUGUGCUUCGCUCAGCCAAAAUAAACUUGUGCACCGACCUUGUGAACAGAUGCCUGGUAAUGAGGCCACGGGACUGAGCAAUGUUUCCAGAAAACUGCUUUACGGUGUAAUAAGUGUUCUGAUUAGAUUCCUGGUUUCAUUCUUGGCAUGCUCAGGUGAUUCAACCUGGGGACCCUAGGGAGGAAAUUACUGUUCUCUAAAUGUCAUGCGAAGAGCACAAGAGUUUUUACCCCUAAAAGAUAUUUCUAAUAAACUAUGUGUUAUUAAAAUAUUAAUGCACAAAUUUUGCCAUCGUUCUUCUCCCGGUUUCUCCUCAAUCCUGACCUAUUUCUUAGUUUGGUUCCAAUUUACUUGAAUUUGAAAUGUCUGCCUCAGUAAGUUCUUUGGUAAUAAGACUUUUGUUAUAUAUAUAAAGUCUCCACAGAUGAAACUAAUUUCAGUCACUUUAAAAUAAGCACAGUAUAACCUGAGGCCAACAGAGCCAACAUGACGUAGUACUCAACACUGUUACUAUUUUUAAUAGACACAACAGAACCAACAAUUAAUCGAGUGUCCGGAACUCCUGGAGUCAUCAUG